rnacentral:rRNA from 1 species
AUUGAACGCUAGCGGCAGGCCUAACACAUGCAAGUCGAACGAGCGGCGGACGGGUGAGUAAUGUCUGGGAAUCUGCCCGAUGGAGGGGGAUAACUACUGGAAACGGUGGCUAAUACCGCAUACCAUCAGAUGACCCCAUAUGGGAUUAGCUUGUUGGUGGGGUAAAGGCUCACCUAGGCGACGAUCCCUAGCUGGUCUGAGAGGAUGACCAGCCAAACUGGAAAUGAGACACGGUCCAGACUCCGACGGGAGGCAGCAGUGGGGAAUAUUGCACAAUGGGCGCAAGCCUGAUGCAGCCAUGCCGCGUGUAUGAAGAAGGCCUUCGGGUUGUAAAGUACUUUCAGCGGGGAGGCGUUACCCGCAGAAGAAGCACCGGCUAACUCCGUGCCAGCAGCCGCGGUAAUAC